rnacentral:rRNA from 1 species
GAUGAACGCUGGCGGCGUGCCUAAUACAUGCAAGUCGAGCGAACAGACGAGGAGCUUGCUCCUCUGACGUUAGCGGCGGACGGGUGAGUAACACGUGGAUAACCUACCUAUAAGACUGGGAUAACUUCGGGAAACCGGAGCUAAUACCGGAUAAUAUAUUGAACCGCAUGGUUCAAUAGUGAAAGACGGUUUUGCUGUCACUUAUAGAUGGAUCCGCGCCGCAUUAGCUAGUUGGUAAGGUAACGGCUUACCAAGGCAACGAUGCGUAGCCGACCUGAGAGGGUGAUCGGCCACACGGGAACUGAGACACGGUCCAGACUCCUACGGGAGGCAGCAGUAGGGAAUCUUCCGCAAUGGGCGAAAUCCUGACGGAGCAACGCCGCGUGAGUGAUGAAGGUCUUCGGAUCGUAAAACUCUGUUAUUAGGGAAGAACAAAUGUGUAAGUAACUAUGCACGUCUUGACGGUACCUAAUCAGAAAGCCACGGCUAACUACGUG